GACGAACGCUGGCGGCGUGCUUAACACAUGCAAGUCGAACGGAAAGGCCCUUCGGGGUACUCGAGUGGCGAACGGGUGAGUAACACGUGGGUGAUCUGCCCUGCACUUUGGGAUAAGCCUGGGAAACUGGGUCUAAUACCGAAUAGGACCACGCGCUUCAUGGUGUGUGGUGGAAAGCUUUUGCGGUGUGGGAUGGGCCCGCGGCCUAUCAGCUUGUUGGUGGGGUAAUGACCUACCAAGGCGACGACGGGUAGCCGGCCUGAGAGGGUGACCGGCCACACUGGGACUGAGAUACGGCCCAGACUCCUACGGGAGGCAGCAGUGGGGAAUAUUGCACAAUGGGCGCAAGCCUGAUGCAGCGACGCCGCGUGAGGGAUGACGGCCUUCGGGUUGUAAACCUCUUUCAAUAGGGACGAAGCGCAAGUGACGGUACCUAUAGAAGAAGCACCGGCCAACUACGUGCCAGCAGCCGCGGUAAUACGUAGGGUGCGAGCGUUGUCCGGAAUUACUGGGCGUAAAGAGCUCGUAGGUGGUUUGUCGCGUUGUUCGUGAAAACUCACAGCUUAACUGUGGGCGUGCGGGCGAUACGGGCAGACUAGAGUACUGCAGGGGAGACUGGAAUUCCUGGUGUAGCGGUGGAAUGCGCAGAUAUCAGGAGGAACACCGGUGGCGAAGGCGGGUCUCUGGGCAGUAACUGACGCUGAGGAGCGAAAGCGUGGGGAGCGAACAGGAUUAGAUACCCUGGUAGUCCACGCCGUAAACGGUGGGUACUAGGUGUGGGUUCCUUCCUUGGGAUCCGUGCCGUAGCUAACGCAUUAAGUACCCCGCCUGGGGAGUACGGCCGCAAGGCUAAAACUCAAAGGAAUUGACGGGGGCCCGCACAAGCGGCGGAGCAUGUGGAUUAAUUCGAUGCAACGCGAAGAACCUUACCUGGGUUUGACAUGCACAGGACGCCGGCAGAGAUGUCGGUUCCCUUGUGGCCUGUGUGCAGGUGGUGCAUGGCUGUCGUCAGCUCGCGUCGUGAGAUGUUGGGUUAAGUCCCGCAACGAGCGCAACCCUUGUCCUAUGUUGCCAGCGGGUUAUGCCGGGGACUCGUAGGAGACUGCCGGGGUCAACUCGGAGGAAGGUGGGGAUGACGUCAAGUCAUCAUGCCCCUUAUGUCCAGGGCUUCACACAUGCUACAAUGGCCGGUACAAAGGGCUGCGAUGCCGUGAGGUGGAGCGAAUCCUUUCAAAGCCGGUCUCAGUUCGGAUCGGGGUCUGCAACUCGACCCCGUGAAGUCGGAGUCGCUAGUAAUCGCAGAUCAGCAACGCUGCGGUGAAUACGUUCCCGGGCCU
rnacentral:rRNA from 1 species